UUGGAAAAUAUAAAUAGAGUCUAAAAGUAAAAAUAUUGAGAAUAUAUAACAAAAUUGACAUUACUUUUUACUGUAUUUAAUACGAAUUACAAAAACAAAUUUACACUGAUUAUAUAAUUUUUACAUAUUCCUUACCUAGUUUUAGUCGAUUUUGACUAUAUGAUUAAAGCUUCAAAUAAUUGAACACACAAAAAUGGCAAUACCCUACUCAUCUCACUCUCUAUGUUAAUGAUGUCCAUCUAUAAAAUAAACAAUUUAAGUAAAAAUUAAUAACAAAAGUAAAUAGAAUAUUAUAACACAAAAUAUUGAAAUCUUACUCCUAUUUUUCGUUGUAAUGACGAUAAAUAUUAGAGCAAUACUCAACUAAUUCACCCAUAGAAAACAUCUUAUGUAGGUAACCUUCAAACCGUUUCUGUUUAAUUGCUUUACGCUUCAAGAGAUGAUCUAGAUUUACAAUAAAACGGAACUUAUCUCCAAACUAAAGGAGCAUCCAAUAUAAACUCGUGACUCACGUGUUUCUAUCCAUUUGGACAUAGGCAAAUAAGUCAACAAAAAAUUUAUGAAAUUAAUGAAAUAGAACUUUUGAAUUAUCGAACUUUAAAAUAAAUAUAUGAAAGAUGAUAUCAACUUACAAGAUUUGAAAAUCGAGCUGAGUAAAAAAAGAUAACGAUUCAGACGUCAUAUUGAAAUUCUUAUAAUUUCGAAUAACAGAUCUAAACAACAAAUUGAUGAUGUAGUUUAUCAAAUAUUUGAACUCAUCAAUAACAACUCUCAUUUGUCUGUUACAUGCAUCUAAAUCGAGUAAAAAUUUUACUCGAGCAUGAAAAUUAGUAAUGAACAUAGACUUUUCCAAAUAUUGCGUGUAAAUACUUUGAUUACCUUUUUUUGCUCAUAUGCAAGCAACAUCCUGAAUGAUUUUACCAAAAUCUUUACUACUAUAACUGAACUACGUAUGCUCAUUUCUAUUUGAAUAAUUAUUUUCCCAUUUCUCCAUCUUUUCUCUUAAAUAAGUAAAACAUUUUUAGAACAUUUUACCGCAAGCAACAAUUUAUCUUUGAUAGUAUACAAGAUAAUGGCGGCACAAUAUGUAAUCGUAAUAAUGUUCAAAUAAAUGUUUGUACACUUUUAAAGCUUUCUAUUUUAUCUUUAUAAGCCAAAAAUGUAGAGUUAAUGCUUGAAAUCUUUAAUACUCCAUAUCCAGUAGUUUGAUAUUACAAUCCGAUUUCCCCAUAGUUAUUGUAAACCAAAAAUAAAAAUUAGACUAAAUCAUAUAACCAAUAACAUGCUAAACAUUAGAGUUGAAAAGAUGCAGUAUAAUCCGAUAGUGUUGAAAGACUAUAGACAGAGCUUAAAAGCAAAAAUAUUUAGAAUAUAUACAUACAUCUUAAGUUACAUACCACCUUGACUUCACCUGAUUAAUUGUUUUUUUUUAUUAGAACUAUAUAAAAUUUAGGUCAAUGUUUGGAACACCUACCAUCAACCACCUAAAUCACAUCCUCUUAAGUUACAUAUUUGUUUUUUAUUAGAACUAUACAUAAUGAAUACUGCUAACAGUAACUGUAUCUGAAUCAAUGAAUUAACAAUAACUAACCAACUCAACAGUUUAAUAGACUCGACUAAUCUAUUUAGCGAUGUUCUAGCAUUAAGCACUGAAACGAACUCGUAGCCGAAGAAUAUUAAACAAGUACAUUGGAAGUAUGGUACAUACAUAACGAGCAAACCAGUGGGACAGCGACGGAGCCGACUGAAGGCUGGAGCUGAGAAACUGACAGAGGAAGCGGGAGACUGACGGGCAGCGGCACUGGAGGUCACUGAGCGAGGUGGGGGGUGUCGUCUCUGUAAAUGUGUGAAUGGGUGGGUGGGGGAACUGAGGUUGCAGAAUUUGCAGAAGGAAGAGAAGCAAAAAGCACGAUGUUGUCCCUCAGAUCUCACCGGAGUUGGUGAGCGGCACUUAAGGGAAGGGGAAGGGGAAGGGGAAGGUGAAGGGGAAAGGGAAAGGGAAUUAGAGGAUCGGGGAGGGUAGGCGAGGGUAGGGUAGGGGAAUAAGGCCAAAGGGGUAUGUUAAAACUUUUAGGUUAAAAUAAUCGGCUAAAAUUUUCUAUUAGUCCCUGUAUUUUAUGACGUUUUUGGAUUCAGUCCCAAUAGUUUAAAUUGGGUAGGAGAG
rnacentral:lncRNA from 1 species